rnacentral:lncRNA from 1 species
AUAUUAGUCAUUUCACCUGAAACCCCCCUGCACCAGAGAUUUCCCCAAGCCCACUCCAGGCUACAAAGCUGCGUGGCCAACGCGCUGCCACUCCCUAAGGAAUACAGGAUUUCUUUUACCUCGUUGACUACUUGA